UACGUAGGCAGCGAGCGUUGUUCGGAGUUACUGGGCGUAAAGGGUGCGUAGGCGGUUGUUUAAGUUUGGUGUGAAAUCUCCCGGCUCAACUGGGAGGGUGCGCCGAAUACUGAAUGACUAGAGUGCGGGAGAGGAGAGUGGAAUUCCUGGUGUAGCGGUGAAAUGCGUAGAUAUGUGGAGGAACACCGAUGGCGAAGGCAGCCCCCCUGGGUCAAAACUGACGCUCAUGCACGAAAGCGUGGGGGAGCAAACAGG
rnacentral:rRNA from 1 species